GAUGAACGCUGGCGGCGUGCCUAAUACAUGCAAGUCGAACGGGGAGUCGCAAUACUCUUAGUGGCGAACGGGUGAGUAACGCGUUGGUACCUGCCCCGAAGCGGGGGAUAACGGACCGAAAGGUUCGCUAAUACCCCAUGUGCUCGGUAACGAGUAAAGGGGAAAACCACUUUGGGAGGGGCAUGCGUCCCCUCAGCUAGUUGGUAAGGUAACGGCUUACUAAGGCGAGGACGGGUAGGGGACCUGAGAGGGUGGCCCCCCACGAUGGAACUGAGACACGGUCCACACACCGACGGGUGGCAGCGGUAGGGAAUAUAGGGGAUGGGCGCAAGCCUGAACCAGCAACGCCGCGUGGGCGAUGACGGCCUUCGGGUUGUAAAGCACGUUUGUCAGGGACGAGGAAGGACGGUACCGGUCGAAGAAGCCUCGGCUAACUACGUG
rnacentral:rRNA from 1 species